AGGUGUUGCCUCCUAUCUUUUAUCAAAGGAGGCACUUGGCUAGGUUGUGGGUUAAGAGAAGAUUCUUACUAUACGACUCAUUAAUAGGCUGCUGUGAUGUUGGGUUAGUCGCCCA
rfam:Bacillus sp. FJAT-27986 scaffolf4, whole genome shotgun sequence.